AAAAUGUUCUACAAGUAUUACACCUAAAGUACGCGAUUAAGAUGUUCCAAAAAGUUAUUGUUUUGUUUUUCGUUGUGAUGCUGAUUGGCAAUAGCAUCCAACAAGGAUCCGAAAGCAAUUCCGGUAGUUCUGGCCAAUCGGGAAGCAGCGGUGGUUCAGGAGGUGGGUUUGGUGGAGGAAUGAACGCGGGAGUUGGAUUUGGUGCCAGUAUGGGCGGCGGCGCCCAAGGCGGUGGCUAGGGGGGUAAAUGAGGUAAAAUCUACUGGAAAUCUGAAGAUAUCUUAUAUACUGUGGCCGUUAUGUAAUAUUUAUUUGGGUAUUUAAUAAAUAGUGUUCUCUAAUAA